AGUGAAUGGCUGCAGUACAGGCAUUUAACCACUGCGCCACCAGGGUUAAAUCCCUUUCAUAUAUUUUCAUCUCAUUGGAAUUAUUGAGGAUUUAAGACAGGCGAACUUACGCAAAGGUAAAUCAUUUUUAAUAAAGAUGUUGUGGGCACAUCAGGUUUUCCCCCCCACCCAGACGAUCACAAAGCCCAUUUACCAAUCAGCAAAACAACUCAUUCAGAGCUACGCAGGAAAUUUGAUACUUAAAUGAGAGCUCUCCUUUCAAAUGAUUAAAAUCUUAAAGUGUUACUCAUUCUUCAUUAAUAAGGAACUAUUUUCCUAAAUUGUUGUAUUUUGUUGCAAUAUUUUAUUGAAGGACUGAGUCUGUUUCUAAGGUUCAAAACACAUAUAUUACAUGAAACACAAGGGACUAAGGGGAGAAACAGAUCACCCCAAAGCUGCCCCUGAGAAAGCCGGGUUGGGACUGCAGCAACCACACACCAUGGCCUCAAUCCAGCUUUUUGCCAGCCCAAAAAGAGGAGGCAAAAAGGCAUUUUUUCCCUCCCCACCACAGCUUUUCGGCAUUCCUGUGAAAUGCCGCAUGCAUAUGCUACACCCCCAAACCGUCAGAAUGCCAGUGUUUCAAGGCAGUCUGUUUGAGCUCUAAGUAUGUUUCUGAGGUCCAAAGCACAUAUAUUACAUGAAAUAAAUGCAUACAAAGAGAUGCUUAACAUGUGGAAUUAGUAGCUGAAUAUUUACAUCUAUCACCUAAGACUGUGCUGUCAUGUAAAACUUGGACUCUUCCUAAGGUAAAGGGGAUUUCUGUUUGCAUUUUUCUUCAGGAAUUUGGAAAGUCCUGGGAAGAAGUUCAGUCAGAAGAUGACCGUGAAUUGCUGUCCAACCAGGAAGAAGACUGGUCUGACUGGGAAGAUCAUCCUGUUUGUGCCGUUUGCCUCUUCUGUGAGAAGCAGACAGACACCACAGAAAAGCUGUAUGUUCACAUGGAGGAGACUCAUGGAUUUGGACCUGCGAAAAAUAAGUCUGAGCAUGGU